ACGGGGUGCAGCAGGCGCGAAACCUCCGCAAUACACGAAAGUGUGACGGGGUUACCCAAAGUGUUCUAUUUAGAACUGUGGUAGGUGAGUAAUGUCCCCUACUAGAAAGGAGAGGGCAAGGCUGGUGCCAGCCGCCGCGGUAAAACCAGCUCUUCAAGUGGUCGGGAUAAUUAUUGGGCUUAAAGUGUCCGUAGCCGGUUUAGUAAGUUCCUGGUAAAAUCGGGUAGCUUAACUAUCUAUAUGCUAGGAAUACUGCUAUACUAGAGGGCGGGAGAGGUCUGAGGUACUACAGGGGUAGGGGUGAAAUCUUAUAAUCCUUGUAGGACCACCAGUGGCGAAGGCGUCAGACUGGAACGCGCCUGACGGUGAGGGACGAAAGCCAGGGGAGCGAACCGGAUUAGAUACCCGGGUAGUCCUGGCCGUAAACGAUGCAUACUAGGUGAUGGCACGGCCAUGAGCCGUGUCAGUGCCGUAGGGAAACCGUUAAGUGUGCCGCCUGAAAGUACGUCGCAAGGC
rnacentral:rRNA from 1 species